UCAAACUGUUAACCUGACAGACAGACAACCUAGCUCGUCGAAAAAAAAACCUAGCUCGUCUAUCUCCUGCCCUCCCUCUCCCCUGUUUCCCUGCGGAUCCAAACUCAAAUUCUAAUUCUUGGUUGAAAUUGUUUUGUUAGUGAUGAUGAUAUUUCAGGUAACAAGUGAUGGGUAGACGAAAAAGUAAACCGCGUAGAUCAGGUGGGGUAAUACUAGAAACAAAUGCUACUGCUGACACAGAAUUGGAUAAGUAGAAGGUUGGAGAAGCAGGGGAAGAAGCAAGGGACAAUUCUGGUGACAUUGAUAAACCUUAUUUUGUUGAUGUUGACCGGUCCAGUUGGUUGUCAAGUGAACAUCUUGAUAUUUCUGAAGUUAUAUUAAAUGAUUUAAAUUUGAGAGAAGGUUUUUCUGGUUUUGAACUAUCUGAGGAGUUUUAUCAGGAUCCCCAGUACUCAUUAAGAUUUCGGGUGUGUAAUGUCAAUAACGUUCUUGGUAGAAUUAAAUUAGGCCAUUGGCCUAUGUUACCCUAUACUGAUAUGCAUUUAGAGUUUGUAAAAAGAGCUACAGUUGACAAUGUGGAAACAUGUACAGUGUUAUUAUCUGGUAUUUUUGAUGGACCUGAUGAAGGUGUUUCUGGUCUUGUUCACUUGGCAAGUCUGAAGUUUGUUACAUUGAGGGCAGUUCUUGGGGUUAGGCUUUCUGAGGACAUUCAUUCCCUCGGGAUAAGGGUUAAGGUAUUUAAGACUUAAGAGUGCCUUCGAUGCAUGCUAGUCGCUUCUCGAGGCUUGUAGACAAUUAAAGAGUAUGAUGAAUGUCAUGUCUUGGCUACGUCCAGAAAUAAUGAUUUCCGAAGUUAGGUAUGGGUUUGGUAACUGUAUGAAAAUGGAAGUUGACCAGAAGACAGAGACGGGAGACGGCAGGGAAUAUUCGAGGUUUGGUCCUGCAGGUUUUUAUGAGGCCAUUAAGCCUUCAAAAUCUGAGCCAAUGCUCGAAGAUGACAUGCCAGAGUUACUUCCUGAACUGAGGCCAUAUCAACGGCGUGCAGCUUUCUGGAUGGUAGAACGGGAGAAAGCACUGAAAGAAAGUCAGGGUGAAAGAGAAAGAAAUCAGUUUCAUUCUCCAUUAUGUGUGCCUGUGGAUUUUCUGGAUGCAAGCUCUUAAAUGUUUUUCAAUCCAUUCAGAUGAGAUGCUCUUGGGUAAAACUGUGGAAUUGCUCGCUUGCAUAUUUGCUCACCGGAGAUCAGCAUCUGGAAGCGACACACUAAUUGACUCAGUGCCCCAAGUUAACAGGGACCAAAAUAUCACUUUAAAAAGACUCAAAAGAGGGCGAGUGGAGUGCAUAUGUGGAGCUCUGAAUGAAAGUAUCAAAUAUCAAGGGCUAUGGGUUCAAUGUGACAUUUGCGAUCUUUGGCAACAUGCAGAUUGUGUUCGUUAUUCACCUAAAGGAAAACCACUGAAAUCAAAACAAGGAUCUGAAAGCAAAACAUAUAAAACUACCAUAGCUGUGAGGGAUGGGGAAUAUGUAUGUCAGAUGUGCUCUGAACUAAUACAAGCUAUUGAAUCUCCUAUUGCCUCCGGUGCCACUCCCAUUGUCUGCCCUGCACCUAUUUUGCCCCAGUGGCAUGAUGAAAUUAUACGCCAUACACGUCCAGGCUCCUUGAAAACUUGUAUUUAUGAAGGCGUACGGGACACAUAUUUUCUCCAAUACGUCUCUGAUGGAUAUCAGUGAUCUUGCAAGUUCUGACAUUGUAAUAACUACAUAUGAUGUGCUUAAAGAGGAUUUGUCCCAUGAUUCUGAUAGACACGGAGGUGAUCGACACUUAUUGAGAUUUCAAAAAAGAUACCCGGUUAUCCCAACUCUUCUUACCAGAAUAUACUGGUGGAGGGUUUGUUUGGAUGAGGCUCAAAUGGUAGAGAGUAAUGCUACUGCUGCCACUGAAAUGGCUCUGAGACUCCAUUCGAAGCAUCAUUGGUGCAUUACAGGGACCCCUAUUCAGCGAAAGCUUGAUGACUUAUAUGGACUUCUAAGAUUCCUUAAAGUUAGUCCUUUCAAUACAUACAGGUGGUGGGCUGAAGUUAUUCGAGAUCCUUAUGAGAAGGGAGAUAUUGGAGCUGUGGAAUUUACACACAGUUUUCAAGCAAAUCAUGUGGCGUUCUUCGAAAAAACAUGUUGCAGAUGAAUUGGACAUUCCCUCCCAAGAGUAUGUCUUAGUGAGCUGUAUUAAAUUUCACCACUGCGUUUUAAGAUCAGCAUCUGAGUUGGAGCUUAUUCUUGGAGCUAUGAAGAACUAUUGCAAGGCUCUGUUAGGCAGGGGCAGUGUCUCAGCAGCCACCAGGCAUUUACAUAUGCUUGAGGUUGAUUAUACCCUAUGAAGCAUGGAUAAAGACACAGACUUUGACUCUUGAAUGUCUAAAAUAUAGGAUGUUGGGAUACUGCAUAUACAAGCGUGUGUUUGUGUGCAAGAUAGAGAGAAAGAGGGAGGACCCUUGGUGCUGUUAUUGUAAAUAUUGCUACUUUUGACUUUCUUUUUUACCUCCUAUUACUUGCAUUGGGUUGUACUUCAAUUUAAUAUAUUUCAUUUGCUUAUCAAAAGAAUCUUGUGCCCUUUGAAGUAUUUACUGUGUUGGAAUUUAUUAUUACUCUUGUGCUCUCAGUUGAUAGAAUUUAUUACUACAAUCCAAAUUUGGGGUUAUUAUAUACUACUUAAUUUAUUAUUA